CUCCCAAAGUGCUGGGAUUACAGGCGUGAACCACCGCACCUGGCUGCUUCAUGUUUUUAUUGAGACAACUAUGUAUACAGUAGGGAACUGUAGAAUACAGUGUAUAUGAAAACGUAAAGGAUUUUAUGUCUGCAAAAGUAGGUUCAUUCUAAAACUGUGGCUCAGAUUAUGGGUGAAAAAGGCGGUCCUCAGAAUUGGUAACUUACUGUGCACAAAACUUGUAUAUUUUAUUGCCUCAAAUGUGUAAUAGGUAGGUAAUUUAUUAUACAGAACUGUGAAUUUAAAAAGAAAGCAUUUCUGCAUUUGUUAAAUGUAGUGGAUUAAAUGGUGUCCAUCUCCUAAUCCCUGGAUCCCUUACAUAGCAAAUGAAUAUCACCUUACAUAGCAAAAGAUAUGAUUAAAUUAAGGAUGGAGAGGAGAUUAUCCUGGAUUAUCUAGGUUGGUUCUAAAUGCAAUCACAAGGAUCCUUACAAAACAGACACAUGGAGAAGACAGAUACAGAGAAGGCAAUGUGAACACAGAACAGAAAGAGAUGUGGUUACGAGCCAAGGAAUGCUGACAGCCACACACAUUGGAAGAGCUUUAUUAAUGGAAGAGAAGAAGCACUAUGGAGAAGAUAAAAAGUUUGUGUUGCUAGGAAAUGACACCCUAAGGACAGAUUAUGGCUAAGAAGAGAAAACUAAAGGGAGAAGACUUAGCAGUGGGAUCCAUUUAAUGAAGAACCAAAUAGUCUUGACUCAAAAGGCCUUGUGAAAAUUCCUGCGUAAAAUCUGACAACCGCAAAUUACCCAAAAAGAUUUCUAACUUGGAAUCACUAAGGACAAAAACUCCUAUAUUCCUGAAGCCCUACAAGCUGGAACUGGACAACUCGAUGUAAAUUUCAGGAGACAACCCCCAUGCCUGAUGUGUGGGCCACUAAGGGAGUUUACCAAAACAUCCAAUGCCAUAACCAGAGACAUUCAAACUAAACCAAGAAAAUGUUUCAAGCUCAAAUCCAGAAAUCUUGUCAACUAACUGCCCUCUGAACUCAGAGACUGAGUUUAUAAUUUGUCCUAAGCCAUUAACCUUUGUUAAUAGCUUUUUUUUGUUUUGUUUAUUUUUUCUGGUUUGGUUCAUGAGGGCAUUUGUUAAGAAGCAUACUCUAAUCCCUUGGUAUAUCCUCCUGAUAGUUCCCAUUGUAAUCUCCCAGCUGCAUUCUCUCAAGGGUUUUGAAGGUGUAUUUGCAGCGAUUAGUGGUAUACUAGGUGGCCUCACUGUGAUUACUGCAACAACUGCAAGAUGACCAAAGGAAUGUGUCUUCCACAAGGCUGACAUUGUGACUUAUGAGUUUCAUGCUAAGACAAAGACAACCCUGCCAUGAUGAUGACUGACAGUAGUGCUGAUGCCAUAAAUUUUUAUCAAAUCCCUCAGUACAGGUUGAGUCUGAUCAAAAGGGGAAAGCUGUUCAGUAAAAUAUGUGGGAGGUCAUUGUUUUGGAUUAAGCUCCUGCACUAGGCCCCAACAGACCAGAUCAAACCAGAAUGGAGUCACUCAUGCCAGAUGCCACAUUGUCAAACUGAAUGUAAAAAUAGGUCACUUGUUCAAAAAAAAAAGGAGAUUCACAGUAACCAAUUGAAAGGGGCCCAGUCAACCUAAGCUCACAUGAUAAGGAAGUCUCCUCUAGUUUAACGUAUGCAAGGAAAGUAGCUUUGAAAUCACCAGUCCACUUUUUGUUUCUUCUUUCUGCUUUCUUCAGUCUUUUCCAUUAUAAAGCCCACACAUCUGCUCAGCUCAGUAGGGCACCUUUCUAUUUCAUAGAUGGAAUGUCACUUGAUUCAUGAAUCAUUA
rnacentral:lncRNA from 1 species